UCUAAGAUAUGCAAGUGUUUAUCUAUGGGAUCCUUUCGUCCAUAGAGCCUACAAAUCCUUUUUCAAAGGCUCAAGAUACAUGUGUACAUAUAUAUAUAUAUAUGAGUAUACUUUCUAAAUUUUCAUUGUUUAUGUGUGUAGUAUUCACAUGAUGGUUGAGAUAUAUGUGUGGGAUGAUUAUGUGUGUUGGUUGAAGUAUAUGUGUGUAGUAUUUGUGUGAUGGUUGGUGAUUAUGUUGUUGAACUUGAUGAUAUCCAAGAAGGGAUCUUUGUAUGUUUGUGAAAACUAUGGUGGUGUGUGAUGUAUAAAUAUAUGAAAUGGUGAUUGAAUACUUGUAAUCUUGAUGAAUCCACCUAUGCCUAAGAAGUGCAUGUAAGGUGUUUGUGAAAAUACCUAAGAGACUAGAGAUUUUGUUUUUAUAACAUAAUAGGUCCAAAAUUAAUUGAUUAUGAAUAUAUGAUGAUUUAAAUUGUUAAGCCUUGAUUUAUACUAUUAUUCCAUUAUUUCCUUGUUAUGACUUGAUAAUUGUUAUUGGGAAUUAUAUAUCCCUACUAUUGAUUGAUAUGUCCAAUAUUUUCUAAAUGUUAGUUGGA
rnacentral:lncRNA from 1 species